rnacentral:rRNA from 1 species
GUGAGGAAUAUUGGUCAAUGGGCGGGAGCCUGAACCAGCCAAGUCGCGUGAAGGAAGAAGGAUCUAUGGUUCGUAAACUUCUUUUGCAGGGGAAUAAAGUGCAGGACGUGUCCUGUUUUGUAUGUACCCUGAGAAUAAGGAUCGGCUAACUCCGUGCCAGCAGCCGCGGUAAUACGGAGGAUCCGAGCGUUAUCCGGAUUUAUUGGGUUUAAAGGGUGCGUAGGUGGGUUGAUAAGUCAGCGGUGAAAGUUUGCAGCUUAACUGUAAAAAUGCCGUUGAAACUGUCGGACUUGAGUGUAAAUGAGGUAGGCGGAAUGCGUGGUGUAGCGGUGAAAUGCAUAGAUAUCACGCAGAACUCCGAUUGCGAAGGCAGCUUACUAAGCUACAACUGACACUGAAGCACGAAAGCGUGGGGAUCAAACAGGAUUAGAAACCCUAGUAGUCC